UACGUAGGGUGCGAGCGUUGUCCGGAAUUAUUGGGCGUAAAGAGCUCGUAGGCGGUGUGUCACGUCGUUCGUGAAAACCUGCAGCUUAACUGUGGGCGUGCGGUCGAUACGGGGCAUCACUGGAGUUCGGCAGGGGGAGACUGGAAUUCCUGGUGUAGCGGUGAAAUGCGUAGAGAUCAGGAGGAACACCGGUGGCGAAGGCGGCCUACUGGGCCAGCACUGACGCUGAGGCGCGAAAGCUCGGGGAGCGAACGGG
rnacentral:rRNA from 1 species